AACGUAGGACACAAGCGUUAUCCGGAGUUACUGGGCGUAAAGGGCGUUUAGGCGGGUGACUAAGUUCGCUAUGAAAGCGCCGGGCUAAACUCGGCGAGGCUGGCGGAUACUGGUCAGCUGGAGUGAGUCAGAGGAAGGUAGAAUUCCGCGUGUAGUGGUGAAAUGCGUAGAGAUGCGGAGGAAUACCGGUGGCGAAGGCGGCAUCCUGGACCAUUACUGACGCUGAGGCGCGAAAGCUAGGGGAGCAAACGGG
rnacentral:rRNA from 1 species